UCGAGGGAUCAUUUGCAAUGGGGCGAAAGCCUGACAAUGCGACGCUGCGUGGAGGAUGAAGGCCCUCGGGUUGUAAACUCCUGUCAUGGGGGAUCAGGCGAGGACGGCGAACACCCGUCCGAGUUGAGCGUACCCCAAGAGGAAGCGACGGCUAACUCUGUGCCAGCAGCCGCGGUAAUACAGAGGUCGCGAGCGUUGUUCGGAUUUACUGGGCGUAAAGGGCACGUAGGCGGCGGCGUGUGUCGGAUGUGAAAUCUCCGGGCCCAACCCGGAAAGUGCGUCCGAAACUGCGCCGCUCGAGGGCGA
rnacentral:rRNA from 1 species